rnacentral:snRNA from 1 species
ACACUUACCUAGCAGGGGGGAGAUACCAUCAUCAUGAGGUGGUUUUUCCAGGGUGAGGCUUAUCCAUUGCCCUUGGGAUGUGCUGACCUCUGCAGUUUCCCCAAACAUGAGAAGUGCAACUGCGUUAUUUUUGGUAGUGGGGGACUGUGUUCAUGCUCUCCCUUU